rnacentral:misc_RNA from 1 species
GAAAUGCGAUAAGUAAUGUGAAUUGCAGAAUUCAGUGAAUCAUCGAAUCUUUGAACGCACAUUGCGCCCGCCAGUAUUCUGGCGGGCAUGCCUGUCCGAGCGUCAUUUCAACCAUCAAGCCCCCGGGCUUGUGUUGGGGACCUGCGGCUGCCCGCAGGCCCUGAAAACCAGUGGCGGGCUCGCUGUCACACCGAGCGUAGUAGCAAUCACCUCGCUCAGGGCGUGCUGCGGGUUCCGGCCGUUAAACAGCCUUACAAAACCCAAGGUUGACCUCGGAUCAGGUAGGACUACCCGCUGAACUUAAGC